GGGAGGCUUCCUAAUGGGCAAGAUAUAGCGGUGAAGAGGCUAUCUCGGAGCUCAAGACAAGGUGCUGAAGAAUGUAAAAAUGAAGUUACAUAGGUAGCAAAUCUUCAACAUCGAAACCUUGUGCGGCUACUCGAAUAUUGUUUAGAGGGAGAAGAAAAGCUACUUGUUUUUGAAUUUGUGCCUCACAAAAGUCUAGACUACUUUUUGUAUGAUCCUGAGAAAAAUAUGCAAUUGGAUUGGUUAAAGCGUUAUAGGAUAGCAUGGGGAAUAGCUCGAGGAAUGCACUAUCUACGUGAAGAUUCCCGACUUCGGAUUAUUCAUCGUGACCUGAAAGCAAGCAAUAUCUUGUUAGAUAGUGACCGGAACCCAAGGAUUUCAGAUUUUGGUACAGCCAGGAUUUUUGGAGUUGAUCAAACUCAUGCAAGCACUAAUAAAAUCGCGGGGACUUUGGGUUAUAUGCCUCCGGAAUAUGUAAGGAAUGGCAAAUUCUCCAUUAAAUCCGAUGUCUAUAGUUUUGGUGUCCUACUUCUAGAGAUCAUCACUGGAAAGAAGAAU